AAAUUGAAGAGUUUGAUCAUGGCUCAGAUUGAACGCUGGCGGCAGGCCUAACACAUGCAAGUCGAACGGUAACAGGAAGCAGCUUGCUGCUUCGCUGACGAGUGGCGGACGGGUGAGUAAUGUCUGGGAAACUGCCUGAUGGAGGGGGAUAACUACUGGAAACGGUGGCUAAUACCGCAUAACGUCGCAAGACCAAAGAGGGGAGACCUUCGGGCCUCUUGCCAUCAGAUGUGCCCAGAUGGGAUUAGCUUGUUGGUGAGGUAACGGCUCACCAAGGCGACGAUCCCUAGCUGGUCUGAGAGGAUGACCAGCCACACUGGAACUGAGACACGGUCCAGACUCCUACGGGAGGCAGCAGUGGGGAAUAUUGCACAAUGGGCGCAAGCCUGAUGCAGCCAUGCCGCGUGUAUGAAGAAGGCCUUCGGGUUGUAAAGUACUUUCAGCGGGGAGGAAGGUGUUGCGGUUAAUAACCGCAGCAAUUGACGUUACCCGCAGAAGAAGCACCGGCUAACUCCGUGCCAGCAGCCGCGGUAAUACGGAGGGUGCAAGCGUUAAUCGGAAUUACUGGGCGUAAAGCGCACGCAGGCGGUCUGUCAAGUCGGAUGUGAAAUCCCCGGGCUCAACCUGGGAACUGCAUUCGAAACUGGCAGGCUUGAGUCUUGUAGAGGGGGGUAGAAUUCCAGGUGUAGCGGUGAAAUGCGUAGAGAUCUGGAGGAAUACCGGUGGCGAAGGCGGCCCCCUGGACAAAGACUGACGCUCAGGUGCGAAAGCGUGGGGAGCAAACAGGAUUAGAUACCCUGGUAGUCCACGCCGUAAACGAUGUCUACUUGGAGGUUGUGCCCUUGAGGUGUGGCUUCCGGAGCUAACGCGUUAAGUAGACCGCCUGGGGAGUACGGCCGCAAGGUUAAAACUCAAAUGAAUUGACGGGGGCCCGCACAAGCGGUGGAGCAUGUGGUUUAAUUCGAUGCAACGCGAAGAACCUUACCUGGUCUUGACAUCCACAGAAGAAUCCAGAGAUGGAUUUGUGCCUUCGGGAACUGUGAGACAGGUGCUGCAUGGCUGUCGUCAGCUCGUGUUGUGAAAUGUUGGGUUAAGUCCCGCAACGAGCGCAACCCUUAUCCUUUGUUGCCAGCGGUCCGGCCGGGAACUCAAAGGAGACUGCCAGUGAUAAACUGGAGGAAGGUGGGGAUGACGUCAAGUCAUCAUGGCCCUUACGACCAGGGCUACACACGUGCUACAAUGGCGCAUACAAAGAGAAGCGACCUCGCGAGAGCAAGCGGACCUCAUAAAGUGCGUCGUAGUCCGGAUUGGAGUCUGCAACUCGACUCCAUGAAGUCGGAAUCGCUAGUAAUCGUGGAUCAGAAUGCCACGGUGAAUACGUUCCCGGGCCUUGUACACACCGCCCGUCACACCAUGGGAGUGGGUUGCAAAAGAAGUAGGUAGCUUAACCUUCGGGAGGGCGCUUACCACUUUGUGAUUCAUGACUGGGGUGAAGUCGUAACAAGGUAACCGUAGGGGAACCUGCGGUUGGAUCACCUCCUUA
rnacentral:rRNA from 1 species